AUACGGAGGGUGCAAACGUUGCUCGGAAUUAUUGGGCGUAAAGCGCGUGUAGGCGGUCGGCUAAGUCGGAUGUGAAAGCCCCGGGCUCAACCCGGGAAGUGCGUCCGAUACUGGCAGACUUGAGUACGGGAGAGGGUAGCGGAAUUCCCGGUGUAGAGGUGAAAUUCGUAGAUAUCGGGAGGAACACCAGUGGCGAAGGCGGCUACCUGGACCGAUACUGACGCUGAGACGCGAAAGCGUGGGGAGCAAACAGGAUUAGAAACCCGAGUAGUCC
rnacentral:rRNA from 1 species